UCCAAUACCAUAUAACAUUAUCUACAUUCCCCUCAUCUCUCUACCUCAGCAUCAUCUAAUCAUUGCUGACUCCGAGAUUGCAAGAUUCUCACGAUACUUCCAGGUAUCGUCUGAGUAUCCAAUCAUCCCAUCACUGCUCUUUGGUGGAAAAGAGCCACUCCUUCCGAUGUCUCGUUCCCAGGAGCCAGGAAUCCUUUCCCAGAACUCCCUCCCUUCAUCCCAUUGGCCAAAAUUAGGUCACAUGCUAACAGCUACACCAAUCACUAGCAAGAUACUGGGAGCCUCGCAAUUGGGUUAGACUGACCACAGGUUACCUGCGCUGCAGCGGGUGGUGUAGCGGAGGGAGGGCGGUGACCCGGCUUUCACACCUUGAGCUGCAGUACUGUAAGGAAGCCCAAGCCGUCCUACUGGAGAGAGAGAUCAUGUGAAGAAAACCACACAGAGAGAGAGAUAAGCCACCUGGAGGAGCAGUGGGCCAUUGGACAGCCUUGAUGGGAUGGCUGUCCUAGAGAGGAUGCCCGCCAGCUCUUCUGCUGCUGGACACGUAGACCUGGCCUAGAAGUUGAAGAAGCUGAAGGGGGCACCAGGGGAAGAUGGAAGAGUUUCAGGCCUCGCGCCAAAGAGAAUCUUGGCCUCAAGACCAGAGCCAGCAAAAAGCUGGGGCACCCAGUCAUACAGCUGUGAAGAAGUGAAUUCUGCCAACAACCAGAAUGAACUUGGAAUUGGAUUCUUCCCCAGUCAGGCCUCCAGGUGAGAAUGCAGUCCACUUAACACCUUGAUUGCAGCCUCGUGAGACCAUGAGCAGAAGACCCGCCUAAGCCCUGCCUGGACUCCUGAUCCAUGGGGCUAUAAGGUAAUAAAUGUGUGCUGUUUUAAGCUGCUAAAUUGGUGAUCAUUUGUGAUGCAGUGUAGAAAACCAGCAGAAUACCCAUUCUCAACCCUCUAAACUGGUAUGUGCUAAUUAAACUAUUCAUCCUUUCAGUGUCCUUUUUGAUUCCAAUUUUAUUUUAUACCCAUUAUAUUAAUAGAUAAUACACGGAUAUGGUAAAUUUUAAAACCGUAAGAGCUUAA